AGCGAAAUGCGAUACGUGUUGUGAAUUGUAGAAUCCCGUGAACCAUCCAUUUUUUGAACGCAAGUUGCGCCCGAGGAUGCAAGCCAAGGGCACUCCUGCAUGGGUGUAAUGCGUUCUGUCGCUCCUUGCGGAGGCACGGAAUCGUUGGUUUAGAUCAGCGGCCCCUCGCCAGGAGGC
rnacentral:rRNA from 1 species